CCCAUGGAGGCUGCUAGUGCUGCUUCUGCUGCUUCUGGCUGCUUCAAAGUUUAUAGAGGAGGAGGUGUAUGGAGGUGUUCUGUGGUUAACCCAACCCCCUUGGCUGCUUUCAUGGAAGAUUUCCCUUCCUCCAUAGCUGUUUCGCGCUCGUUUUUGCCGAUUUUGAAACUUUUAGCAGCAAUGGCGGCGGUUAGUUCGUGUUCUUGUUCGCUUGCGUAAAGUGAUACGAGUUUUCGAGUGGAGACCAUCGGACCGUGUUUGCAAGAGCGGCAGCAACGACACUGCUUUAUUUCGGAGCACCACGCAGACGCAUGACUCCUCGCCAGCAGCACGGCACACAUCGCAGGGGACGCUUUCCCACCAGACGCGCUACGGCGCAGCGAUCAUGUCAGAGGCGUCCCGCAUCGGACGCUGCACCUAGGAAUCGCGCUGUGAGCGGAAAGAGGAGCCGCGUCGCCUAAACACGACGGUUCGAGUGACGCACGCUGGAAGUUGGAAGGGGACAAAGCGAGAAAACUUAUUAAACACAAGGGUAUUGGGUCAUCCUCGCACCGGUCCCCGCACGGCUCCAAUGCGCUCAAACGAGACGAAGGGGAGAAGCGGGCGAGUGGCGCGCCAACUGUCGGGGCAGCGCCGUACAUUGCGAGGAGGGGGUCUUCUGUGUUUGCCGCAAGAUGGCUCUGCGUUUGCGCCAAGCGCAGAAGAAAUUUAGCGGAAACGUACUUCGCUACUCGUUUAACUGCGACUUCUGUAAUUUACAUGCUCAUAAUUACCGAUAUACACUGCAGUAUAACUUUCUACGGCACCUUUCAAAGGCAACACCGCAUUCACCAGAGGCGAUUUUGUCGCGCUUUGAACCAUCGAACUCAUGGCUGUCAAUAAAGAAAAAAAAAAGAACUCAUGGCUGAGUGGUAGCGUCACCGUCGCACACUCCGGAGACCUUGGUUUGAUUCCCACCCAGCCCAUCUUGCACGUUGUUUUUUUAUUUAUGAAUUGCCUUCCGGGAUUUUUCGCUCACGGCCAACGACGCCGACGACACCGGCUUUUCUGCGACACGAGCUCCUCAACGCUGUCGCGUUAAUAAUACCAACGGCAGGCAGCAAACAAGUGCGGUCGCCGAAGGUAAUGGUCGCCAGCAGCAAAGGCAAGCCCAUGACAUUCCUAUAGAGCCAUAGAGUGAGAAAUUCUAUGCAUAGAGCUAAUGCGCCCGAUUUUCGCAUGCGACGCUAGCGCCGCCUGGAUUCUAACGGUAGUUGCUCUAAUACCAGAAAAAUGUUUACUUACUAAUAAUAGAUAAUGUUUUGAAUAUUAUUCACUUACAAUCUAAAUUUAAAAAUGACAGGUGACCUCUGAAUAAUUUCUAGUUGCAUAGAAAGUUAAAUGGGUAUCGAAAGCGCAAUGACGCUUGUGAGCAGUACCACACAGUAGACGACCGACGCCGGCAUUGUCUGCUUCUGCUAUUGCUGUUGCGCUGCCCGCUUGCUUUAGCCAGGUAUAUCCCAAUAUAUAUAUAUAUAUAUAUACAUAUAUAUAUAUAUGUAAUCUUAUAUAGGACUAAGAAUUAGCUUGUACAUUUACCUUUGAAGGUUGGCACUGCUGUAUAGGCCGAGCGAAAUCACGACGCUGAUCACACUAACUUGCUGCCAAUAAACAGCUAUAUUAUAACAUCAUUGAUGUUUACAUGAAAUAAAAAGCAUGUGAAUAGCGUUUCAGAAGAUAUACUGGUGCGUAACAUGCAUAGUUUAUGUGCAAAAGGAUACUACGUACAGUCUUGACACACAUUUCUGGUGAACACAAGCUGUCUGCCGUUGAAUGAAGAAAUACAUCCGACCACAUAAAGCCGUCGCACGCUGGUAUGUUGCUACUGAAGUUCAUCCACUUUUGUAGCUGAAGAUGUCACGCCACUUCGUUCACAAUAUUCACAAACUGCAACUUGAUUUGAGCCAGUGCCUCCUGUUUGAGCAGAAACACGUAGCUUUCACAAGGGCGAAUUCUGUCGCGACUGUUCAUCUUCUGGUCCAGAAUGCCUGCUCUCUCUCUUGCAGUUAACCAUUCGAGAAGUCACGUUAUAAAAAUUUUCAGCGUUUAAGCUGAAUUUGCUUCGAAAAGUUGAUUAUUUCAGACAGAAUUGUUUUUCUGUACUUGCUGGUUUGAUGCGUUGCAAAUAAAGUUUACAUAAUACAGGCUUAGCUGGCGUUUCGAUUACCGCUGCCGGCGGUGCGCUGUCGUCGUUUCGAUGGUGGCGCCACCCCAAGGCUUGGACGCGAAACACGCCACAUGCCACAGGCUUGGCUAAGGCCUCUUUUGUACAAUGAUGACAGUAAAGAGCAGAAGCUUAAGAUACUGUCUCAGGGGGAGCCGCAACGGAGUAAAACAGUAUCAUCAGCAGCUCAUAAGCAUACUUAUCCAAUAUGUCAUAGAAAUUGAACUUUUAAUGUGGUUCAAAAAUCUGGCACUGCAUGCUAUUUUAAAUGCAAAAAAACAAUACCACCUGUACGCAUUCGUGAAACGAAACUUGCCAUUUCAGGUUAAGAAAUUUGGUAUUGUGUCACUCGUUUCAUUGUUCAUGUGUGAAAUGUAAAAAGCCUAACUGCAAAUCAUGGUGAACCUUAAUUACUUUUGCGUGCAUUGUUUUGGUAGAAUGUACAGUUUACUUAAAAUUCCUUUUUUCAUGUAAGAUACUUUAACCGUCAAUUGACCUUUAUUCUGUUUUGACUGAAUGAUUUCUGCACUGCACUAUCCCAUGUGAUUGUCAAGACAGCUGUGUCGCAGUGUUGUCGCAGAGUAGUGUCCAGUCAAUAGGUAGACUGUAUCUUUUCCCAUUUUUUGUUGCUCCAAGCAUGUCAAUCUUACUUUUGCUUUUUUCAGAGUACCUGUCCUCACUGUCACAUUUGAAGUAUUGUAGGUGGCUAGGAAUGACCCAACGUGAGCUAAUAUGCUGUCACACUCUAUCAAAACAGUUGCAGACUGUCUGAAGAAACUCCUGUUUGAGUGUUAUCUGCGACUCAAAGAAUACUACAAGCCAUUGACCCUGCAAAUCCGUCUGUAAGCAGCUGCAUCUUUCCCUGAGGCGGCACGAAGAAGGAAGUUCCGUAGCUGUGAUAUCAUCGACUAACUUUCUGGGUGGGAGUCCCAGUUUUCUGUAGAAGAUUGCAACAAAGUAUUCCAGGGUGAAAAUCAAGCCUUUCUGAUUAGCAGAAAUGGUGGGCCUCCUAAUCAAAACAUGGCUCCUGGGCCCACAACAAGCUUUUUGUGGUCAGCCACAGUUCAGUUGUAAUUCCAAUUGGUAACUUUUGAAAGCACCACAAAUCAGUUUUGUGUGUGUUGUGUGACAAUGGUAUAGUUCUUGCAGCCAUGAUUUAGGCAAAGUAAGUUUUAGAACAUUAGUUACUGUAAAGAUAGCAUUGUGAAUGUGCAAGUUCUCUGGAAAGAAGUUGCCUUUACUAAGGACUAGCUGUAUUAGUCAUAUUCAUAGCAACCAUACUGAAUCACAUUUGUAUUUAAGAAAUAAACUGCAUUUUUUACUGCUCUUUUAAGCAUCUAUGAGCCAUUAUGAAAGGUUGUGUCCGUGCAGAGGCAGGAAACAGACUCUUCCUUAAAAUGCACUCUCUACACACUUGCACCCAGUUCUGCUGCGAUUAUACUGCAUGCAUCUGUUUAUAGUACAGUUUACCUGAGGUGAUAGUGGUAUUUAUUGGCUGUGUUUGGUCGUGGCAAUGGUAUAUGUGGUUUUUGCAUAUGAAUCCAUGCAUUUUCAUACCAGUGCAAGUCUAAAGAGCAAUAGAAUCAUACAUUUAUUGCACCAUUUCAGACAGACAUGCUUAUUAAAUGUAUGCAUGGCAUAGUGUGCUAUUACUGAUCCACUAGUAUCACAAAACAAUGGUCCUUUCUGACUCUGAAAAUGUAGAACUCAGGCAUGAUGCUCGAACGUUGAGAAUGGCUGAACAAAAUGAGUGGACUGCAAUGCAUUACCUGCACUCACUGUGUGCUCAGACUGAAUUGCAACACUUGUUUCAGCUGUGUCUUAAAGACUUAAAAAUAAAGGUUCAUAAUGAAAA